rnacentral:rRNA from 1 species
GUUGACCUCGGAUCAGGUAGGAAUACCCGCUGAACUUAAGCAUAUCAAUAAGCGGAGGAAAAGAAACCAACAGGGAUUGCCCCAGUAACGGCGAGUGAAGCGGCAACAGCUCAAAUUUGAAAUCUGGCCCCAGGCCCGAGUUGUAAUUUGCAGAGGAUGCUUUUGGCGCGGUGCCUUCCGAGUUCCCUGGAACGGGACGCCAUAGAGGGUGAGAGCCCCGUACGGUUGGACACCAAGCCUUUGUAAAGCUCCUUCGACGAGUCGAGUAGUUUGGGAAUGCUGCUCUAAAUGGGAGGUACAUUUCUUCUAAAGCUAAAUAUUGGCCAGAGACCGAUAGCGCACAAGUAGAGUGAUCGAAAGAUGAAAAGCACUUUGGAAAGAGGGUUAAACAGCACGUGAAAUUGUUAAAAGGGAAGCGCUUGUGACCAGACUUGCGUCCGGUGAAUCACCCAGCUCUCGCGGCUGGGGCACUUCGCCGGCACAGGCCAGCAUCAGCUUGCCGUCGGGGACAAAAGCUUCAGGAACGUGGCUCCUCUCGGGGAGUGUUAUAGCCUGUUGCAUAAUACCCUUCGGCGGGCUGAGGUACGCGCUCCGCAAGGAUGCUGGCGUAAUGGUCAUCAGCGAC